GAGACUCUGUGCGCGUGCAUAUCAAUAAGCGGAGGAAAAGAAACUAACUAGGAUUCCCUUAGUAACGGCGAGUGAAGCGGGAAGAGCUCAAAUUUGAAAUCUUCAAGGGUUCUACCUUGACGAAUUGUAGUUUAAAGAAGUGUUUUCUGUUGGAGUUUAGGUAAAAGUUCUUUGGAAUAGGACAUCAUAGAGGGUGAGAAUCCCGUAUUUGACCGUUACUUUCCAGCUGUGUGAUACACUUUCAAAGGGUCGGAUUGUUUAGGAAUGCAGUCCAAGAUGGGUGGUAAAUUUCAUCUAAAGCUAAAUAUUGGCGAGAGACCGAUAGCGAACAAGUACCGUGAGGGAAAGAUGAAAAGAACUUUGAAAAGAGAGUUAAACAGUACGUGAAAUUGUCAAAAGGGAAGCGUUUGACACCAGUGUUGUUUAGUUGAAAAUCAAUUCAAAUAGGUUUUGAUUCUAGUAGUAUUGACUUCAUCAGCUUUCUGCACUUUCUUCUCAGUAUUAUUUAAUGCACUUUUCAGUUAACAAGUCAACAUCAAUUUCUUUUGUUGUAAAAGGGUAAGAGGAUGGUGGCUUGCGCUUCGGCUCAAGUGUUUAUAGCCUUUUAUCCUCUGCAAUCGGAGAGAUUGAGGAUCAGCAGCGUAGACUCCUUCGGGGUUAGAUACACUUGGUGCUAAGCUAUAGCCUUGUACAGACAACUUGUUGACUAUGCUCAGUCAUGUAGCUUACUCGCUUGUGCUAUUUUACCUACGCUUAGGAUGUUGACAGCAGUAUAGACUGU
rnacentral:rRNA from 1 species